rnacentral:rRNA from 1 species
CCUACGGGAGGCAGCAGUGAGGAAUAUUGGUCAAUGGACGAGAGUCUGAACCAGCCAAGUAGCGUGAAGGAUGACUGCCCUAUGGGUUGUAAACUUCUUUUAUAUGGGAAUAAAAUGUUCCACGUGUGGGAUUUUGUAUGUACCAUAUGAAUAAGGAUCGGCUAACUCCGUGCCAGCAGCCGCGGUAAGACGGAGGAUCCGAGCGUUAUCCGGAUUUAUUGGGUUUAAAGGGAGCUGAGGUGGAUUGUUAAGUCAGUUGUGAAAGUUUGCGGCUCAACCGUAAAAUUGCAGUUGAAACUGGCAGUCUUGAGUACAGUAGAGGUGGGCGGAAUUCGUGGUGUAGCGGUGAAAUGCUUAGAUAUCACGAAGAACUCCGAUUGCGAAGGCAGCUCACUGGACUGCAACUGACACUGAGGUUCGAAAGCGUGGGUAGCAAACAGGAUUAGAUACCCUAGUAGUC